ensembl:lncRNA
GUAUUUAAGCGAAGCGGGGCGCGCGCGCGAACCGGCGGCGCGCGCGGCCCCAGAACAUGUCCAUAUAUGGCGAUCUUUCCGAACGCCGGGCGCCCAUUGGCCCGCCCGAGAGGGGCACGUGGGGCCCCUCGCCCGGUCCCGCCCCCCGCCCGCACCGCCCCCAACCGCCCCGCCCGCGCUGCCCCCGGGCGCUGGAGACCCCCAGAAUGAGACCCCGCACUGACCGGCGCGCGGGCAGGAUGGGUGGGCGCCCCCGGGGGGCUGCAGGGGUGGUCGCAGAGGAGGCCGGGAGCUGACCUGGGGGCCCCGCCCCGGGACUGUCGCGCGCCGUGGGGGAGGGCCUGGCUGCACCCCGAAACUGCCUGGCCCGGGGCUGGGCGGCACCCGGAACAGGGGAAACAGGCAGGGAAGAAGUCUUGACUGCCUAAACGGUCAACUCCCCCGCUAAACUUGAAGGCAGGUAAAGCAGGUGCCCAGCUCACCUGCGGACUGCAGUCACCCAGAUGCCAAAGCCAUGCCUAUGGGCACCCUUAAUGCCAGGCCUAGCUGGGUUCCCGACUCCCAAGACUUUGCAAGGGCGCAGGGCAACGCUGCUGUCCAUCAGUGCGAGGCCUCGCCCAAGGUCAUCUCAGGGCUGUGCUCCUGGAAGCGAAAGGCCGCCCCCUCCUCCCUCAAGAUGGAGAAGCCCAGGAAUCCCUUGGGAGGGGACCACACGAAUGUGGCAGCCCCUGGCUCGGCCACACCAGUCUGUCAGUCUCCCUGCUCCAGCCUCCAGGGAUCCUUCGCAGGAUCAGGGUCACCUCUGUACCUGGUAGCGUAAACUGCAGCCCAUCACCCAACCCCUGCCUCCCGCCUCUCGCCAUCUCCCACUAGCCAGUUACUUGCCAGGCAGCAUAGGGACUUGGUAAUAAGUCCCCCUUUCUGCCUUUGCCUCUGCCAC